GGAUGAACGUUGGCGGUGUGUCUAAGGCAUGCAAGUCGAGCGACGGGCCCACUUCGGUGGGAGACCGAGCGGCAAACGGGAGAGUAACACAUUAGUAACCUACCUUCGAGUCAAGAAUAGCCCAGGGAAACCUGGAUUAAUGCUUGAUAGUCAUGAGGGGUCUUCGGACAUUCUCAUGUAAAGAUUUAUUGCUCGAAGAGGGGCUUAUGGCCUAUCAGUUUGUUGGUGAGGUAAAAGCUCACCAAGACUAUGACGGGUACCGGGCGUGAGAGCGUGAUCCGGCUCACUGGGACUGAGAUACGGCCCAGACUCCUACGGGAGGCUGCAGUCAAGAAUAUUCCACAAUGCCCGAAAGGGUGAUGGAGCGACACCGCGUGCAGGAAGACGGCCUUCGGGUUGUAAACUGCUUUUAUAUGGGAAGAAUUUGUGACGGUACCAUAUGAAUAAGAGGUUGCUAACUCUGUGCCAGCAGCAGCGGUAAUACAGAGACCUCAAACGUUAUCCGGAUUCAUUGGGCGUAAAGCGUCCGCAGGUUGUUUAGUAAGUUAGUGGUCAAAUCCUAAGGCUCAACCUUGGGACUGCCGCUAAUACUGCUAAACUAGAGGCUGGGAGAGGCAAGCGGAACUACCGGUGUAGUCGUAAUAAGCGCUGAUAUCGGUGGGAACACCAAAGGCGAAGGCAGCUUGCUAGAACAUGCCUGACACUCAUGGACGAAAGCGUGGGUAGCGAAGGGGAUUAGAUACCCCCGUAGUCCACGCCGUAAACGAUGUAUACUAGGUAUUGGAAGUAUCGACCCUUUCAGUGCCGUUGAAAAAAGCUAACGCGUUAAGUAUACCGCCUGGGAAGUACGGCCGCAAGGCUAAAACUCAAAGGAAUAGACGGGGACCCGCACAAGCGGUGGAUCAUGCGGUUUAAUUCGAUGAUACGCGGCGAACCUUACCUGGACUUGACAUGUAACUGCAUUCUGGUAGAAAUAUCGGAAGCCUUAGAGGGUGUUACACAGGUGUUGCAUGGUUGCCGUCAGCUCGUGCCGUGAGGUGUACCGUUAAGUCGGGUAACGAGCGCAACCCCUAUCGUAUGUUAAAUGUACAUGCGAGACUGCCCGGGCAACCGGGAGGAAGGUGGGGACGACGUCAAAUCAGCAUGACUCUUACGUCCAGGGCUACACGCAUGAUACAAUGGCGAGAUACAAUAGGUCGCGAAACCGCGAGGUGGAGCUAAUCCUUAAAACUCGUCUCAGUUCAGAUUGCAGGCUGAAAUUCGCCUGCAUGAAGUUGGAAUCGCUAGUAAACGCGCAUCAGCACGGCGCGUUGAAUACGUUCUCGGGUCUUGUACUCACCGCC
rnacentral:rRNA from 1 species